AACGAACGCUGGCGGCAGGCCUAACACAUGCAAGUCGAGCGAGGACUUCGGUUCUAGCGGCGGACGGGUGAGUAACGCGUGGGAAUGUGCCCUUCUCUACGGAAUAGCCCUGGGAAACUGGGAGUAAUACCGUAUACGCCCUAUUGGGGAAAGAUUUAUCGGAGAAGGAUCAGCCCGCCUUGGAUUAGGUAGUUGGUGGGGUAAUGGCCUACCAAGCCGACGAUCCAUAGCUGGUUUGAGAGGAUGAUCAGCCACACUGGGACUGAGACACGGCCCAGACUCCUACGGGAGGCAGCAGUGGGGAAUCUUAGACAAUGGGGGCAACCCUGAUCUAGCCAUGCCGCGUGAGUGAUGAAGGCCUUAGGGUUGUAAAGCUCUUUCAGCUGGGAAGAUAAUGACGGUACCAGCAGAAGAAGCCCCGGCUAACUCCGUG
rnacentral:rRNA from 1 species